rnacentral:rRNA from 1 species
UACGUAGGUGACAAGCGUUGUCCGGAUUUACUGGGCGUAAAGAGCGCGCAGGCGGUCGAUCAAGUCGAGUGUGAAAGCCCCCGGCUCAACUGGGGAGGGUCAUUCGAUACUGAUCGACUCGAAGGCAGGAGAGGGUAGUGGAAUUCCCGGUGUAGUGGUGAAAUGCGUAGAUAUCGGGAAGAACACCAGUGGCGAAGGCGGCUAUCUGGACGGUUUCUGACGCUAAGACGCGAAAGCGUGGGGAGCAAACAGG